CUUGGGUAUGGUGACAUGGUACCCAACACAAUUCAAGGAAAGGUAAUAGCUGGUGUAUGCGCCUUAAGUGGUGUUCUCCUUAUAACUUUACCCACUACUGUAGUAGUAUCAAAC
rfam:Branchiostoma floridae genomic scaffold BRAFLscaffold_36, whole genome shotgun sequence.